GCGUUCGUGGUGUAGUAGUCAGCACGUUAGGUCCGUAUUCCAGAGGUCCGAGGUUCGAGUCCCGGCGAAGGUG
rnacentral:tRNA from 1 species